rnacentral:rRNA from 1 species
GACGAACCGUGCGAACGUUGUUCGGAAUCACUGGGCUUAAAGGGCGCGUAGGCGGGUUCGCAAGUCUGUGGUGAAAGCCUCCAGCUUAACUGGAGAAGUGUCAUGGAUACUGCGAAUCUUGAGGAGGGUAGGGGCAUCUGGAACGGUCGGUGGAGCGGUGAAAUGCGUUGAUAUCGACCGGAACUCCGGUGGCGAAGGCGAGGUCCUGGACGUCGACUGACGCUGAGACGCGAAAGCCAGGGGAGCGAACGGG